AGGAAAAUGAAUUCUAUGACGCUGUUGUAAAACCACCUCUGAUUGGUCCGAUCCAAAGGCGGAGAUAACAAGCCUGAGAGGGUUUGAACCAGGAAAGCUGCCUCAUUCUACAGAAAGAUGGGCAAAGGGUUAAACCAAAAAAGCUACCUCAUUUUACAAAAAGACUGCAAAGGGUCUAAACCAAAAAAGUUGCCUCGUUUUACAAAAAGACUGCAAAGGUAAACAUUUUCUUUCUCUUUUUUUUUUAAUUUUACCCUGAGCUUUUUAUUUUUUUCUUAAUCUACGCUGAUAUUAAAUAGUUUUAAUGCUUUUUUAUUUACUUUUAUUACACUGCCUUAGUACAUUUUCUUUUAAACCUAGUUUUUAAUGUUUUUUAAAUGCCUUUUUUAGUACCCUUUUAUAGUUUUUGGCCAUGUGCUUACUAAACAGGUUUUGCUUCAGUCAAUUCCCCUUUUAAACCUAGCUGUAUUGUUUUUAAUAUUAUUUAAUAAUAUUAAAAAGCUUUUUUUUUAACCUACACGGGUAGUCAAUAGUUUUAAUGCCUUUUUAUUUACUUUUUCUGCCCUGGACCUCCCAAACAGGCUUUGGCUUUGUCAAUUUUUUUAAACCUAGUUUUUAAAUGCUUUUUUUAGUAUUUCUUUAUAGUUUUUGGUUAUGUGCUUACUAAACAGGUUUUGCUUCAGUUAAUUAUCCUUUUAAACUUAGUUUUUAAUGUUUUUUCUUAACCUACAUUGAUAUUGACUAGUUUCAAUGCCUUUUUAUCCUGUGCUUACCAAACAGGUUUUGCCUUAGAAAAUUCCCUUUAUAAACCUAGCUUUCAAUAUUAUUUAACUUUUUUCUUAAUCCACCCUGAUAUUUAAUACACUUUUUAUUCAUGUCACCAAGCACAAACAUACACAACACUCCCCCAUAGUCAAACACAUACAUGCACACUUUUUUCAAAAUGGCCGACGGCGCCACACUCUUGCACCAACGGAAAUGGGGGGUGGGAAGGCGGGACAUAAGCCCUAAAAGGGGCGUGGAAACCUGUCAAAAUUGCAUGGUGAUGAAUAAUAUCGAGCUUAUUACUACU